UCCUACGGGGGGCAGCAGUAGGGAAUCUUGGACAAUGGGCGAAAGCCUGAUCCAGCCAUGCCGCGUGAGUGAUGAAGGUCUUCGGACUGUAAAACUCUUUUCUGAGGGAAGAACAGGCGGCGUAGGAAAUGACGCCGUUUUGACGGUACCUCAGGAAUAAGCAACGGCUAACUCCGUGCCAGCAGCCGCGGUAAUACGGAGGUUGCGAGCGUUGUUCGGAAUGACUGGGCGUAAAGGGAGCGCAGGCGGUUCGAUUAGUCCGGAGUGAAAGCCCGGGGCUCAACCCCGGAGGGUCUCCGGAUACUGUCGAACUCGAGUACGGAAGAGGAGAGUGGAAUUCCAGGUGUAGCGGUGAAAUGCGUAGAUAUCUGGAGGAACACCGGUGGCGAAAGCGGCUCUCUGGUCCGAUACUGACGCUCAUGCUCGAAAGCGUGGGGAGCAAACGGGAUUAGAUACCCCGGU
rnacentral:rRNA from 1 species